CCUACGGGUGGCAGCAGUGGGGAAUAUUGCACAAUGGGGGAAACCCUGAUGCAGCGACGCCGCGUGAGUGAAGAAGUAUUUCGGUAUGUAAAGCUCUAUCAGCAGGGAAGAUAAUGACGGUAUCUGAGUAAGAAGCACCGGCUAACUACGUGCCAGCAGCCGCGGUAAUACGUAGGGGGCAAGCGUUAUCCGGAUUUACUGGGUGUAAAGGGCGCGUAGACGGGAUGGCAAGUCUGAAGUGAAAGCCCGUGGCUCAACCGCGGGACUGCUUUGGAAACUGUUAGUCUGGAGUGUAGGAGAGGUAAGUGGAAUGCUUAGUGUAGCGGUGAAAUGCGUAGAUAUUAGGAGGAACACUAGUGGCGAAGGCGACUUACUGGAACGUAACUGACGUUGAGGCGCGAAAGCGUGGGGAGCAAACAGGAUUAGAUACCCGGGUAGUC
rnacentral:rRNA from 1 species